rnacentral:rRNA from 1 species
AGAGUUUGAUCCUGGCUCAGGAUGAACGCUGGCGGCGUGCCUAAUACAUGCAAGUCGAGCGAACGGACGAGAAGCUUGCUUCUCUGAUGUUAGCGGCGGACGGGUGAGUAACACGUGGAUAACCUACCUAUAAGACUGGGAUAACUUCGGGAAACCGGAGCUAAUACCGGAUAAUAUUUUGAACCGCAUGGUUCAAAAGUGAAAGACGGUCUUGCUGUCACUUAUAGAUGGAUCCGCGCUGCAUUAGCUAGUUGGUAAGGUAACGGCUUACCAAGGCAACGAUGCAUAGCCGACCUGAGAGGGUGAUCGGCCACACUGGAACUGAGACACGGUCCAGACUCCUACGGGAGGCAGCAGUAGGGAAUCUUCCGCAAUGGGCGAAAGCCUGACGGAGCAACGCCGCGUGAGUGAUGAAGGUCUUCGGAUCGUAAAACUCUGUUAUUAGGGAAGAACAUAUGUGUAAGUAACUGUGCACAUCUUGACGGUACCUAAUCAGAAAGCCACGGCUAACUACGUGCCAGCAGCCGCGGUAAUACGUAGGUGGCAAGCGUUAUCCGGAAUUAUUGGGCGUAAAGCGCGCGUAGGCGGUUUUUUAAGUCUGAUGUGAAAGCCCACGGCUCAACCGUGGAGGGUCAUUGGAAACUGGAAAACUUGAGUGCAGAAGAGGAAAGUGGAAUUCCAUGUGUAGCGGUGAAAUGCGCAGAGAUAUGGAGGAACACCAGUGGCGAAGGCGACUUUCUGGUCUGUAACUGACGCUGAUGUGCGAAAGCGUGGGGAUCAAACAGGAUUAGAUACCCUGGUAGUCCACGCCGUAAACGAUGAGUGCUAAGUGUUAGGGGGUUUCCGCCCCUUAGUGCUGCAGCUAACGCAUUAAGCACUCCGCCUGGGGAGUACGACCGCAAGGUUGAAACUCAAAGGAAUUGACGGGGACCCGCACAAGCGGUGGAGCAUGUGGUUUAAUUCGAAGCAACGCGAAGAACCUUACCAAAUCUUGACAUCCUUUGACAACUCUAGAGAUCUGUCUCUUAUACACAUCUCCGAGCCCACGAGACCUCUCUACAUCUC